rnacentral:rRNA from 1 species
UACAGAGGGUGCAAGCGUUGUUCGGAAUUAUUGGGCGUAAAGGGUGCGUAGGCGGGCCGUUAAGUGUCUUGUGAAAUCCCCCGGCUCAACCGGGGAAUUGCUGGGCAUACUGGCGGUCUUGAGCAGUCUAGGGGCAGAUGGAACAAGUGGUGGAGCGGUGAAAUGCGUAGAUAUCACUUGGAACGCCAAAGGUGAAGACAGUCUGCUGGGGACUUGCUGACGCUGAGACACGAAAGCCAGGGGAGCGAACGGG